rnacentral:rRNA from 1 species
UACAGAGGGGGCAAGCGUUGUUCGGAAUUACUGGGCGUAAAGGGCGCGUAGGCGGCCUGCUAAGUCGAACGUGAAAUCCCCGGGCUCAACCCGGGAACUGCGUCCGAUACUGACAGGCUUGAAUCCGGGAGAGGGAUGCGGAAUUCCAGGUGUAGCGGUGAAAUGCGUAGAUAUCUGGAGGAACACCGGUGGCGAAGGCGGCAUCCUGGACCGGCAUUGACGCUGAGGCGCGAAAGCCAGGGGAGCAAACAGG